GACGAACGCUGGCGGCGUGCCUAAUACAUGCAAGUUGAGCGCUGAAGGUUGGUACUUGUCCCGACUGGAUGAGCAGCGAACGGGUGAGUAACGCGUGGGGAAUCUGCCUUUGAGCGGGGGACAACAUUUGGAAACGAAUGCUAAUACCGCAUAAAAACUUUAAACACAAGUUUUAAGUUUGAAAGAUGCAACUGCAUCACUCAAAGAUGAUCCCGCGUUGUAUUAGCUAGUUGGUGAGGUAAAGGCUCACCAAGGCGAUGAUACAUAGCCGACCUGAGAGGGUGAUCGGCCACAUUGGGACUGAGACACGGCCCAAACUCCUACGGGAGGCAGCAGUAGGGAAUCUUCGGCAAUGGACGAAAGUCUGACCGAGCAACGCCGCGUGAGUGAAGAAGGGUUUCGGAUCGUAAAACUCUGUUGGUAGAGAAGAACGUUGGUGAGAGUGGAAAGCUCAUCAAGUGACGGUAACUACCCAGAAAGGGACGGCUAACUACGUG
rnacentral:rRNA from 1 species